UCCAGACUCCUACGGGAGGCAGCAGUGGGGAAUAUUGCACAAUGGGGGGAACCCUGAUGCAGCGACGCCGCGUGGGUGAAGGAGUGCUUCGGCAUGUAAAGCCCUAUCGGCAGGGAAGAAGCAAGACGGUACCUGACUAAGAAGCCCCGGCUAACUACGUGCCAGCAGCCGCGGUAAUACGUAGGGGGCGAGCGUUAUCCGGAUUCACUGGGUGUAAAGGGAGCGUAGACGGCAAUGCAAGUCCGGAGUGGAAUGCGGCAGCUCAACUGCCGAACUGCUCUGGAAACUGUAUGGCUUGAGUGCAGGAGGGGUAAGCGGAAUUCCUGGUGUAGCGGUGAAAUGCGUAGAUAUCAGGAGGAACACCGGUGGCGAAGGCGGCUUACUGGACUGUAACUGACGUUGAGGCUCGAAAGCGUGGGGAGCAAACAGGAUUAGAUACCCCUGUAU
rnacentral:rRNA from 1 species